UUAACUUCCGCUUUAUUGGGUUUGUGUAUCUUUUACUGUACCACUGGUAACAAUGGCACCUACAACCAGCAAAAUACAAUUAAACCUAAUGAACAGAAGGAAGUUGGGCUCGGGUUGCUGUGCUGUGGGGUGCAACCUCACGUCCGGAACAAAUGCCAUUUCCAAGAUUAAAAUGUUCCGAUUCCCGAAAGAAGAGAGGAGAAGGAAAGCCUGGAUUACGGCAGUAAAAAGAGAGGCAUGGAAGCCUGGAAAAAAUUCAAGAAUAUGCAGCACACAUUUUGUGUCAGAUUUCUCCAUAGAAACAGAAAGAGAAUAGAACCAUCAUCAGCCCCAUUCUUUUGCACUCACAAUUCCCUGACUCCCGGAGGAACCAAAUGAUGCUUAUCGCUAUGGAUACCGUUCAACAAACUAAACAUGCCAUCUGUGGCCCCACAA